rnacentral:rRNA from 1 species
CCUACGGGAGGCUGCAGUGGGGAAUAUUGGACAAUGGGCGAAAGCCUGAUCCAGCCAUGCCGCGUGUGUGAAGAAGGCCUUCGGGUUGUAAAGCACUUUCAGUGGGGAAGAAAGCCUUGGGGCUAAUACCCUCGAGGAAGGACAUCACCCACAGAAGAAGCACCGGCUAACUCCGUGCCAGCAGCCGCGGUAAUACGGAGGGUGCGAGCGUUAAUCGGAAUUACUGGGCGUAAAGCGCGCGUAGGCGGUCUGAUAAGCCGGUUGUGAAAGCCCCGGGCUCAACCUGGGAACGGCAUCCGGAACUGUCAGGCUAGAGUGCAGGAGAGGAAGGUAGAAUUCCCGGUGUAGCGGUGAAAUGCGUAGAGAUCGGGAGGAAUACCAGUGGCGAAGGCGGCCUUCUGGACUGACACUGACGCUGAGGUGCGAAAGCGUGGGUAGCAAACAGGAUUAGAUACCCUUGUGUC